ACUCCUACGGGAGGCAGCAGUCGAGAAUUUUUCUCAAUGGGGGAAACCCUGAAGGAGCGACGCCGCGUGGAGGAUGAAGGUCUUCGGAUUGUAAACUCCUGUCAUUGGGGAACAAGGUGCAUACGUUAACUGCGUGUGCAUUGAUAGUACCCGAAGAGGAAGAGACGGCUAACUCUGUGCCAGCAGCCGCGGUAAUACAGAGGUCUCAAGCGUUGUUCGGAUUCAUUGGGCGUAAAGGGUGCGUAGGCGGCGCGGUAAGUCGGGUGUGAAAUCUCGGGGCUUAACUCCGAAACUGCAUUCGAUACUGCCGUGCUUGAGGACUGGAGAGGAGACUGGAAUUUACGGUGUAGCGGUGAAAUGCGUAGAGAUC
rnacentral:rRNA from 1 species